rfam:chromosome III of strain GB-M1 of Encephalitozoon cuniculi (Microspora)
GCCCUUGUAGUGUAGUGGUUAUCACGCAUCCUUUACACGGAUGAGGUCCUUGGUUCGAUCCCGAGCGGGGGCA